GAGGAUGUUUACCUUGGUCACAGGGGAUGGGCCAUUACCAUUGUGACGUCGGCGCCCAUGGGUACUCUCCCUUUUCGAAACGUUUUGAAAGACAAUGCAACCGUCCCAAUGGAAUAUUAUUGAAGCCCUGGUUGAAAAAGCCCCUAAAGAUUUAUGUUAUACAACGUUUGACAUGUUUGAACGAACUUAAAUAUAUUUCUUUUGCUCAUUCCUGACGACAAGUCAGACGCACACGGUACAUUUUUACUAGCCUUCGGAGCGCGCUAACACUAUUGGGACAUAAAUUAUUAACUUUUUUGAACAAAACUACAUUUGUUAUGGACCUGGGAAUUCCUAGAAGUGCCUUCUGAUAAAGAUAAUCUAAGAUGCUAUGCCGGAUUAACUCAUUGCAGAAUGUGUCCAUAAUCACGAAUGAAUAAGCAUAUUUACAGUGCCUUCAGUGUGCUCUGAGGAUGGAACAUGUGCUGUGGGGUUCAGUGUGGGUGGACAUGGUGGCUCAGUUGAUGACCAGUUAUUUAUGUAUUGCAAAGUUUCACGGAUUAAAUAAAAAUGUGGAACUACAACCACGCUGCACUUUGGUCCGAUCCUUUCGACAACCGUGACAGAAUCACCCACCAAAAAAGGACCAAGCAGCGUGCCCUGGAGGAGCAGUGAUCCUGGGCUCGGGAGAAGAGGGAAUGGAGGAUGUCCUGGACCUGGGAGGAGGUAAUGGCAGGGGACAAGACCCUGCCAUGGUAGCAGGUGGAAACGGAGCAAGCGGAACAGCGAUGCUAUGAGGAGCUAGCCCAACGACG
rnacentral:lncRNA from 1 species